rnacentral:lncRNA from 1 species
CUAAUCUUUGUUUUGCUGUCCUAAAUGCAAGUAUAGACCUUCAUAAUGAAACAUGUCUAUAGUGCUAUUUCUAGUUAAUUCUAAGUUUAAAAAGUAAGUUCUCAAAAGGGUGUGUGUCACUGUAAAAUCUAAGUAGAGAAUGAUAACAUAGAACUGAUAUUAAGAACUACCAAGGAUCUAAAUGAAAUGUCUCAGUUGUAUUUAUUUUAGAAAGAUGUAUUCUAAAUUUUUUAACUUGGACAAUUAGACGUGAUCAUUACUAAAAAGUUGCUAAAAUUCAAAUCAACAGCAGCCCAAAAAAGGGAAAGCAUUCAUUUAAAACUUCCUCAACCAUGUGCUCCAGAUAUAACACUCUAUUAAAAUAAGUUAACAUUUCUUUCAGUUGUUAUGUGUAUUGUGCUAAGUAUUUUAUAUUUUCUGACUUAAUGAAGAUUUUUUAAUGCUUCUGGGCUUUUUCCUUUGCAGAUGUAUAUUUAUGGAUAAAUAUAUAAAUAUAACAUUUUUCCGUCUUUUUGUAACAACUGUAGGAAACAAACUGAUCUAUAACCUGCUUUUUAUAUGUAAUCUUUCGUCAGGAGUGAUAAACCCAAACUAUUCAGAGGACUACAAAUCAAGUAUGUUCGUGGUUCAGACCCUGUACUAAAGCUUUUGGACGACAAUGGGAACAUUGCUGAAGAACUAAGCAUCCUCAAAUGGAACACAGACAGUGUAGAAGAGUUCCUGAGUGAGAAGUUGGAACGCAUAUAAAAGUUGCUUAAAUUUUGUCCUAUCCUUUUGUUACCUUUGUAUCUAAUGAAAUAUUACAGCUCCUAGAAAAUAAUUUAGUUUUGCUUCCUUCCAUUGCUCAGUCUUUGCCUGUGGGGCAUUGAACAUCUGAUUAAAAGUUGAAGUGGCAGCACAGCCCAUGAUAUCUAAGGAGUUGGCAAGCUUAACAAACCUGUUUUUUAUAAAUUUCCAUUCUCCUACAUUUGUUGAUACCACUAACAAAAUGUUUGUAUUAGACUUGUGGUUAAUUAUGCAAAUGAAAGUUUGUGAUAAUUGGUCCAGUUUUACAAACAACAGAUUUUUAAAUUAGGGAGGUUAUUAAGGGAGAUGAUUGCUAUGCUUCCUGUGCUGUGUGCUCCUUGAAAGUAAUGACAGAAAACUACAAAGCAAGUAAGAUAUUCUAGCCUCCACAGAUUGCCUGCUCCUCCAAUCCGCUCAUAUUUUUGUAUUACCCAGCUUUCCUUUAAAUAGAAACGUUGUAGUUUAUAAUGAAUGCACUGCAUAAAAACUUUAUGGCUUCAUUAUUAUGAAACAGAUUCAAGAUCUACAGUAAGAGUGAAACAUUCACAAAGAUUCGCGUUAAUGAAGACUACACAGAAAACCUUUCUGAGGAUUUGUGUGGAUCUGAUAUCCGGCAAAUUUUUGUGCUUUACAUUCUUACAGAAAAGUCAAUUUAAAAAUAAAUCAUUUGUAAGACCAAAAUAUAAAUAAAAGGUUUUAAAAAUCUAUCUGAAUUUGAAAUUCUUCCUAUUUGUCC